AACAGCUCUGUAAUCGUAAGGUUCGAGAUUUUGCUACGGCUUUACGGGUCCGAAAAGUUUCCGGAGCUUUCGUGAAACGGGCCUAAGUAGGGUAUCUUAAAGAGAGCAAGGGUUUUGGGAAGUGAGCCGCACAUCACACCCAAUUUUUUUCUGGGAGUAUACCUCCACCCCCCGCGCCCCCGAGGUGUUGAACUUCUCUAUAACCACCCUGAUCCCUACCAUUGCAGAUAGGUUUCAAUCUAAAUAGGAUUCUCUGCUGUCAGCAGAUGUCAUAUCAUGGUUAAGGAAAUAUGCAUUUGUUUUUUUUUUUGUUUUUUUUUUGUUUUUUUUUUUAACAUCAGUUCGUGUGCCUUCAGCAGAAGUUCCCCUCGUGACUCUGUGACUCGAUUGUGACAGCUGUAGGUAAUGUGGUACCAAUCAUUUCAUUUCAAACAAGAAACAUAUCAGCCUAGCUUAGCAUUUUGAUAAUUUCUAUACCCCUACAAAAAUUAGCUGGAGAAUAGUGGCUUCUUUAGCUAUCCUGAAUUCACAUUGAAUUUCAAUGAUAGAAGCCACUAACCAACCAUCCUUACCAUAAAAUUCUUUUUACAUGGGCUGAACGUAAGGCAAUGUUUAAAAGUAAAAAGUCAUUUACUACUCGCUGGAUACCUCAAAAUAAUUAUCUGCUAAGGAAGUGGAGAAUUUCGCCGCAGCUAUGAUAGAAAAACGUGAAAAAUUGAUAACUCAAACAUUGUAGAAGAUUAACUUAAUACCUCUCUUCCGGAGGAAAAAAAAUAGUUAAGCCAUUAACUGCAUAACAAACAGCGUGUCUUAUUAUUUAUAAAGAUCAAUACCAUUACAAAAGAUCGAGCCAAUAUAGAACCAUUAUUUCGAUAGUUCUGUGUGAUCUUAGCGAGUCACCUGCCCUGGAAAGGUUAACUUCUUAAAAUUUCUGGCAGGCUCCGUUCCAUUUAUAGAUAGUUUGGACCAAGGGUGAGUUUCCAUCCACAGGAUAAGACUGAUGAAGCUAAAAUCCCCCUCUUCUCAACCGCACUCACCCCUGCUAGGAAAGGUUUCUCAUUGCGAAUACCGAGAAAUCGCCAUUAAAUUUAGCUAGCACGUAAACAUUUUCAUUCAAUGAACGUUUGUAUGAUACAGAGCAGUGGUUAUACCCCGAAAUAGCAUUAUCCUACCUAGUCUGGCACUCUGGAAUUUUGUCGCUGAAAACUCACUCUUCUCGUGACGUGCUUUUUUUGAGUCCACAUUGAAACAGACAGUGGUCGCUAACGACUAUAUAAUUAUCUAAUUUAAUUAAAUAUUUCACUCAGGAUAUGGUAGUAAUUAAUAGAAAACGUAAGCAGGUUUGCAUGUUUUAAACCAAGUAGUCUACAUCAUGGGAGGGGAGAUUUUUAGACUCAGAUGCCGCUAAAGAGUGAAGUUGUUUGUAUUCACACAAACAAAUUAUGUUUACAAGGAAUCAUUAUAGUAUACCAGUGUAUUAAAGUUGUAAUAUCACAUUUAGUGUUCGUGUUGUCUGUUCGUGAAAGCAUGCCGGUGUUUCAAUAAGAAACAGGAUAGUGAAAUGUAGAUGCUCCAAUUCUCUCAAUGUGUUUGAUGUCCGAUCACGGAAUUUCUUUUAAAAAUAGAAACCGCACGAAACUGAAGCGUGUGCCUUAUUAGCUGUGCUUUAUUUCUUGUUUAAAUUAGAGUUACUACCACUUUACAUGUUGUUGACAUUGCUUCUUAUCGCACUAGCAUUUGCAAUCUGUUGAUAAGAGUGCCUGAGUUCUUAACUGAAUAACUUAAGAGCUCGGUAUGUUUUUUAAGCCUCCGUACAGCACUCGAAGUAAAUAUUUGCGCGUGCAUUGGGGGAAGACUGUGGUCAGGAAAUGGUGUUUGUGAUGAGCUGAGAACUGCUCUUCAUCUCCCUAGCAACUUCCGCACAAACAUCCGUCGGUAUAAUAGACCAUAUUGCAACCUUGACCGACGAACUUUGUGCGAGAAGCAAGGACGAUAUUCACUUAAAGAUAUUACUUUGUAUACCGACUCUUAGUAAUAUUUAAAACGAGUUGGGAAAGUCAGUGUGUCUAACCGCAACGUUUAACAGAAGGUAUAAAGAGGAAAAACGAGGGCACCAGGUCAAUGGAAUUGCGUUGGCGAAGUUCUCAGUAAGUAGUUGUCAGAUUGUUUCACUGUGCCUCAUUUUAAGUAGUUUGUCGUCGUAUUUUUCGACGCGUGAUGAAUCAUAGAAUGAUCAGUUCACAUGUUUGUCGUUUUAUGAGCGUUCAUUUUAAUUUAUUCCAGAUGAAAACCGUAAUUUAAUUAAUGUGACAUCCCCUGUUAGCAUAACCACUUUGAAAUGGACGUAACAGAAGGCUUGUUUACUGUAUAGGCACUAACGUCUGUUGAUAGUGACUGGUAAUGCCUCACACAUUGGCCACAAAUCACACUUCAAUUAGUUUUAUUUACCAUUUGCAAUUAGCUUAUUUACAUUGCAGAGUGCUGUUCCGCUCAGGUAUGUAUGUGGCACAACGUUCUGUGUGUUCUGUAGUUUUAAUUGAGCUAUAAAUUGCGUAGACAGUGACUCGACACGGUUUUAAAAUUGUUCCACGCGCCAAAGCCAGUUCGAUUCCAGUAUAUGCUCGAGCUUUACCCGAGUGUAUAAUAUGGCUAAACGGGUUUGAAUAUGAAAACGUUUGCCUUAUCAAUCCCAGAUGGUUAACCGUAACUUCUUUUUUUUUUUUUUCCAGGAGUUAAAUUCAGUAUUUUCCCCUUACUUUCAAAUAUUAUCUCCAUAUGGUGAUACGGCCUCCCCAGCAGGUCAACUCCAGGUUGUAGCUAUGCGCGCCAAAAUGUCUUCCAAACGGAUGUUCGCUGUGGGAGCUUCGGUAUUGAUCCACUUUGCGACGCCAGUGCACUGACUUAAACGCAGAUUUAACUUCUUUAACAAAAUUACGUGCUUAAAGGCUAAUCCGAUCAGUUUUUAUACUAUGAAUCUUGCAACUUUUUUUGGCCCAUUUAGGAUUAAUUUACUGGCCGAGACAUGAAGAAGUCAGCAAUAAAGAACUCAACAAACCUUUGCGUAUAAAAACAGUUUUCUCGGAGAAGCCUUGUAAUAUUAGUCAAGGCUUGUGAACGUAAUGAUUCAUCAUUAGGCUGUCAUCGCAAGUCGAAUGUUUGUAGUUAGAGGAUUAAACCAACGAGUGGUAGUCUUGUCGUUUUGUCGGCAUUCGGGAGCCAUGUUAAGCCCAGUUGAAAUGAACGGAAACACAACCGUAAACUAAUAUGACAAUAAAAGUAACAUAGAUUGUAAUGAAAACAGCCUGAUUAGACUUAUCGCCUUAGCACCCAAGCAAAUCUGUUGUUUUUAUCUUAACUAAUACGAUUUUAUUGUUUUACUCAUCUCACCCGCAUAGUUAACCAAUAUUCCACAUGAGUUCGCAUGCAAACAAGAUUUUGAGAACUUUGAAUUAGUUUACAAUAUAAAGUAAUUUCAAAGAAACAAUUGACUACAGUUAACCUCGUGUUUUAGCUUGAGGUUAACUCUAAACCGUUGUAUCAAACUCGUGAUACUGCCAGCUACUGUCAUGUGCGCCCCACAAAAAGAAGACGUAGUUUUUUCUACUUGAGCAGCUGGCUAAUUGAUAGCGAAACAGUUUUUACAAGGUCUUAAUCCAUUAAAUGUGUGAUUGCUGUUGUUCACUGGAAUAGAAACGGUUAUGUCAUAAAUCAUUCUCAUCUUUAAUAGUGCCGUUUGCGACUUGAAGGCGCGUUGCCUGGCCCUUGGAAAAUAGCUCGGAAUAACUCUAAUCAAGAUCCAGCCUAAUGGCCCAGUAAAUGGCCGCUUGUCUUGCUCUAUCACUCGCAAUCGCCGAAUCUUAAAAAGAUAUCAAAAGUCGCUCGGACAAAGGCAACACCAUAAAUAGGUUAAUUGUUUUUUAACCCACAUUUCCGCUUAUUGUUAGAGUGAAACCGAAACCGUGAGUAUGUGGGCAAGAAAUUCUAGAUAUGCAUUCUGUUCUCUCGAUUUCAGAGGGCUGUGCCUCAUUCAGGAAUUGACCUUUGUUGACGGAAAUUUUUCAAUCCUCUUUUUUUCAGACGCAAGCAAGGCCCGUGAUUCACUUUCGCUUGGAUUUGCCAUUCUCAGUCCAGGGUCACUGAGCAGAGCAGAACAUUUACGUCUAUUAAAAAGCUAGCGGCGGUGCGGCUAUGGAUAAUUCAUCGGCAAGUCAUUAGUAAAACUCAUCACAACAGGUAAACUUCAGUGGAUGUUACAUGCUUGAAACUUUAUUUUCUUCUCUGUGUCGAUACGCCAUAUUUAGUUUGGGGCUUUAUCACGCUUUACUGCCUCAGUUCUUGGUCAACAAGUUGUGUAAUAACUCUAAAGUCGGCAUAAGUAACAUAGAAACAAGACCGGGAUGCUGAGAAAAUUUUUGACGCAAAUUUUUAAAAAGUCAACUUUGAUUUCGAGCGCUAAGAUAAGUGAUGUGAUGAAAUGCACUUGCACAUGAAAACCAUUUGGUUAGGAUCUAAGGCAAGCGAAGGCAUAUUCUCUACCAGGGUAAACGAGACAUUCGCUGGACAGGGAUUAGGCUUGCCAACCUGUGUCGACAAACAGCACAAUGAGACAGCGACAAAACACAAACAGAAUUAAACGACUACGCAGUCUUAAAAUCUCGCAAAAUGCACUACUUUCGCCAGUCUUAGAUGUACGAGUUUUCAGGGGGAGCACGUCUCUGCUAAUUGGAUCCUCUCCCCUCCCCUAUCACUGACAAAGCACCCUCUGAUUGCCUAUAACUACUGAGAUGUAACGAAAGGAACAAAUGGUCUUGAAAAUUCAGUAUUUACAAGUAGAUGAAGAGUAUAUUGGGAAGGGGUCAGUAGAAGGAAGCAACGGGCAAGUGAAUAAAGAAAGAGGAGAAAACAGUACAAUUUUCCCGUUAAAUUAAUUUUAUAUAAAUGGUAUAUAGUUUGCGAAAUCGUAUUCUCUGUUGACGCGCCUAACCACUCGCUUCUUGUGCAGAAGGCCUUGUAGCCAUAUAAACAAGUGAUAUUGAUUGAACCUUGGCGGAAAUUAAAUUUAUUCAUAACGGACUGUGUUUUCCUUCGUGUUCUAAAGCUGAAGGAUAGUUAGUUUCGAGUUUUACCGGAAAACACACGCGCGCGCGCGAGAAUUGGAUCAGCUCAAGCUUUCAAUGUAAUUUGAUCCAUUUUAGUUUUAGUUGAAGAGAGUGAAAGCAAAUGUUCGUGUUUUUAAGGUGAAGAAUGACGUUUUCUGGGUUCCUCGGCGCUGACGUAAACUGCGAUAUUUUACUUGAUUGCAAUAAACAAUUCUGUGACGUACAGCAUCGCACAUCCUAGCGCUUUACUGAACUAAAAAAACCACAGUUCAUACUACAGGGAACUGUUUUGUUUCACUUCGCCACUAAGUGGUCAAAACCCAAAGAGCGUGCGGUCACAGACCUUGGUGUGGACUAAAAAAACAUGCUGGACACAUAGCGCACUGUUUACAUUAAAAUACAGCAAGUUUACAAAAAAAUUUUCCCACACCAGGACAUAAGUCAUUUCUCUUGAGCUGAACUGGCUGGGUAGAAUCGAGAUUAUAUAAUCCAGUCAUUCUUUUAACGAUUGACGUAAUCUGCCGUACUUAUUAGAUAUAAGCCGAAGUACAAAUUUUGAUCAGAUUAACCCAGCAGCAGAGAUAACCGAACAGGCCGCGGUCGUUGUGUAAGCGAUUUUUGCAUCGUCACAAAAUUACGGCUAACGGGAAAACAGUAUUGAUCGCCGGGCGAGGUGAGUAUGAGAUCAAAACAAUUCUUAUAGUGUUCAGUUGUAUUUCGUGCGUGACUGCAUGGCGAAAACGAAUUAGUUUACAGUCGCCACUAUACAAUACUUAUGCAAUGAGCACAAUAUAAGUACUAGUCGUACAGAGAAGAGGGUAAUAAAAUGCCUUGGAGACUUAAGACUCCUCAAAAACAAGAUGCAUGUACCCACAAUCUAUAUUCAACCUCAUAUGCAAAGCAGGCUUUCGUCAUGUUAUCGUGAAAAUGGUGACGUCAUCUCUAAAGCAAGCCCAGAUUAUGUUAGGAAAACAAGCGAAAACAUCUUUUUUUUUUUUUCAUGCACUGUCUAGCUUCCAAGAGGCCCUGUACCCUAAUUGGCGAGAAAUUAUGUUCUACAUGCAGCUCGUAAAGGAGGGAAAAAAUGAAAAAUUUCUAUCAAGCAGUUUACAUUGAGAAAAAUGUCCGAUGUGACUGAAGACAUACCUCUGUAAGCGGGAAACAAAAAACCAUAUGUAGUGUCAAUGCUUAGCUUAAGCUGUUAAAUGCGGUUAUCAGUUAUUAAAAAUAAAAAGCAUUAAUCAUGUCCAUAAACUGUUAGAUGAUUUUCGUAUUGUUUUACCGAUGGGUCAGUUGUUUGGUUAAUCGAACUGGCGAGGCGUUAAAGUGCUUGUAAAGUGCCCUUCCGGCCGAUAGAAGGCUUGCGACAAAUCGAAGACAAAUUGGAGUCAAAAAAAUUAAAUCGCCCUCAGUAUUUAAUCAGUAUAAAUCUCGCAGGGCCGUAAUGAAAUUUCCGGAAUUGAAGCUAGUAGUAUUCGUUUUGAGGGUUUAAAAUUUGAUUUCCAGAUAAGCGAAUUUAUGCACUUAGUCUGUCACUCCCUGGUUUCCAAUGAAAGCGGAGCUACCGAAAGAAUUGAGAGCCUUCGCAGUUGACAAGGGCUUUGCUGAAAGCUAUUUGAACAAUCAAUUCCUGUUUCAUUCUAGAAACGACCAAGCAAACUCAGUAAAAAUAGAGAUGUGUUAUUGCGACAGAUUCUGAGCAAAAUCUUUGUUGACAAUUCGCGUUCAGUAAAAAUGACAAAUGCCAGAUGCAAAAGAUGAAUUGGGAUCUCCGUACACAUUAAUGUCAAAAGGAAAUCCUUAUUACAGUUUCCGUACAAGACGGUCUUUCGGACUAAGUUUCAUUGUACUGUUCCAUUCUUUGGGCAGGAAGGCUUCCUAAUACCUUCCCUUUGGCUGUCUAAAGAGUUCGUUUUCCCAUGAACUUUCUCAGAUUUGAGUACUUUUUAGUUUUGUCUAAGAAUCUUGGCACGGUUUCAUCCCCCGCCAUUGUAAUCCGCUGGUUGUUUAUCUACAGUGAAGAAGAAUUAUGAAAGCUUAAGACGACAACUAAAAGCGAGUUGUGUGGGCUCUAGGAAAUUAUAAACAGUCUACCCAAAUGCGGCGUCCUCCGUUGUAGACACUUCGUCGAGCAUUUUUUACACUUCAGGUGCUAAGCACGUUUUUAUGGGAAAGGAACAAGUGAUUAGCGAUUAUUUUGAAUUAAACCAGCUUUGCUUUACUAUUUUGGUCCUGUCUGAUCCACAAUUUUUGUUUUGAAAAAACCUUUACAGAUCGCAGAACCUAUUGUUCUCUAAUUCUUUGUGUCCAUUAUAAGUCGUUUUUGCAUGUGGAACUGACACCUGAUUGGUCAAUUCGCCCGAUUCAAGGCGACUUUCCACUAUACAAACAGACGUUUUCUCGAAGUAUCUUCAGUCCUCGAUUGAACUUCAAGGUGACUUUUGAAGGAAAGCUGAUUAUUUGAAGGGAAACGAUUCGUAUCGGGAAUUAUAGCAAAAAGCGUGUGUGCUUGUAAUCUUCAUUGUCGCUGACAUAUGAUAUAGCGAAUUUUGAUUGACAAUUAAGAUUUCCUUCACACCGGGGUAACCUAAAACUCCAUUUUGAAACGGUGCCUUUCUUCUAUGCAAUCAUCCACUUGUCAUGUCAACGAAUGCGAAAUUGCAACAGUCAACAUUGAAAAUUGUGCUUUUAAUUUAUCUCUACGAUUGUUUAUUUAAGCGAGUAAAAUGUCGCGAAGUCCUGUUAAAAGACCUAAGACCUCUCUCUUUAUAUGUACUUGGUUCUUAUCUCUGCAGCAGUGCUCUACUUCCCGGCUGCUGUAAACAAUCAUAGAACUCUUUAGAGAUAAGAGGAGCUGGAAUGCGCUCGGUGAUAAAAGAUCCCAAACAUAUAAUUUGCUUCGCGCAAUGUCGUGCACUGGCCAACGCGAAAAUCGGCAUGUAAGCAAGCACGGUCGGUCGCGACUGCCCGAUUAACUACAAAGCGGAUUCGCUUCCUGUACGCCAAGUCGCCUGCUAGCAAAUGCUACACGUCAACGAAUAUUGUUAAACAAACAGUCUCGAUUACUCGUAAUGGGCCGUGAUAUUUUUGUUUAGAAACGAUUACUCAAAUUGUCUGUCCGUUCCGUGGCGGUAACACAAUAUCCAGAGCGGAGACUUGGACCUCGAGAUCACCAGCGUGUGUCAGUCUUCCUUUAAGAGAGCUGCGGGUAAGACGGUCGCAGAUCGCUGUAGGAGAACCCAAGAUAUUCCGCCAGACAGUACAAGUUCAGUGAUGGAAACACAGACGAGACUGGUUGCGGUAGCCACUUUAGUGAUUCUUCAGAUGCUUUGUGUCCUUAGUGGAAUCCAGGAAGUUGGAGGCAAUAUGUGCAAAUCUAAAAUUACGUGUCUGAUUGAUGAGCCUGGGACCAAUCCGGUUUGUGGCAGCGAUGGAAGAACAUACAGCAGUCGAUGCCUUCUACAGUUUGCAAAGUGUCGUGGCCAUAAAGUUAAGAUGGUUCAUAAAGGAAAAUGCAAAGAUACUAAGCCAUUUC